UACAGAGGUCUCAAGCGUUGUUCGGAUUCAUUGGGCGUAAAGCGUCUGUAGGUGGCUUUUUAAGUCCGCCGUCAAAUCCCAGGGCUCAACUCUGGACAGGCGGUGGAAACUACCAAGCUCGAGUACGGUAGGGGCAGAGGGAAUUUCCGGUGGAGCGGUGAAAUUCGUAGAUAUUCGCAAGAACACCAGUGGCGAAGGCGGCUCACUGGCCCGGUACUGACGCUGAGGCACGAAAGCGUGGGGAGCAAACAGG
rnacentral:rRNA from 1 species